rnacentral:ncRNA from 1 species
AAAUGAGCGAUGAACAAGAUACGAUUUUACAUCCGCUUCCUAUAGAGAACAUUCGGUUGGUGGAAAGAAUGUAGGUAAUGAUAUAAGACCAUCACUUGUGAGCUAUUUUCUUGAAAUAAAAGUAGGGGAAUCGUAAUUUCUGCGUUAAAGGAAUAGCAUUAUAUAAAAGAUGUGAAGGGGCGAUUUAAUAAUCGCAAUCUAAGUGGUACCGCGGAAAAAGGUUUUCGUCUUAGCU